rnacentral:misc_RNA from 1 species
AACGCACAUUGCGCCCCUUGGUAUUCCAUGGGGCAUGCCUGUUCGAGCGUCAUUUGUACCUUCAAGCACUGCUUGGUGUUGGGUGUUUGUCCGCGUUUUACACACGCGGACUCGCCUUAAAGUGAUUGGCAGCCGGCGUACUAGCCUCGGAGCGCAGCACAUUUUGCGCCCCUUGACCUGAACGUUGGCGUCCAGUAAGCCUAUACUUUUGCUCUUGACCUCGGAUCAGGUAGGGAUACCCGCUGAACUUAA